AAAAAAUCUAGGAAAAGAAGAGUAUUAUAAUUGAUUCUUUAAGCGAGUAGAGGUUGGUGGAAGCUCUAUAAGAUAGGUUAUAAGAAAAGAGCCUUGGAGAUAUUUACUGAAAUUAAGUAGGAUAAAUCGUAGUAGCUGCGUUAAAGCGUUAAGUGGCAUUUGAUGCAAUUAGAGUGGUACCGCGGAUAUAUUUCCGUCUCUUAU
rnacentral:ncRNA from 1 species